UGGGAUAGCUUAGUGGGUAGAGCAUGAGGCUCUUCAUCUCAAGGCUGUGGGUUCGAGCUCCACAUUGGGCAAAA